ACGUACGCUGGCGGCACGCCUAACACAUGCAAGUCGAACGCAGUAGCAAUACUGAGUGGCAAACGGGUGAGUAUAAUGUGGGAAUCUGCCUUUUGGUUUGGAAUAACACGGGGAAACUUGUGCUAAUACCGAAUAAGCCCUUACGGGGAAAGUUUUAAUGCCGAAAGAUGAGCCCGCACUUGAUUAGCUAGUUGGUAAGGUAAAAGCUUACCAAGGCAACGAUCAAUAGCUGGUCUGAGAGGAUGAUCAGCCACACUGGGACUGAGACACGGCCCCAGACUCCUACGGGAGCAGCAGUGGGGAAUCUUAG
rnacentral:rRNA from 1 species